GGGUUGUGAGGUUAAGCGACUAAGCGUACACGGUGGAUGCCCUGGCAGUCAGAGGCGAUGAAGGACGUGCUAAUCUGCGAAAAGCGUCGGUAAGGUGAUAUGAACCGUUAUAACCGGCGAUGUCCGAAUGGGGAAACCCAGUGCAAUUCGUUGCACUAUCGUUAACUGAAUACAUAGGUUAACGAGGCGAACCGGGGGAACUGAAACAUCUAAGUACCCCGAGGAAAAGAAAUCAACCGAGAUUCCCCCAGUAGCGGCGAGCGAACGGGGAGCAGCCCAGAGUCUGAAUCAGCUUGUGUGUUAGUGGAACGGUCUGGAAAGUCCGACGGUACAGGGUGAUAGUCCCGUACACCAAAAUGCACAGGCUGUGAACUCGAAGAGUAGGGCGGGACACGUGGUAUCCUGUCUGAAUAUGGGGGGACCAUCCUCCAAGGCUAAAUACUCCUGACUGACCGAUAGUGAACCAGUACCGUGAGGGAAAGGCGAAAAGAACCCCGGCGAGGGGAGUGAAAAAGAACCUGAAACCGUGUACGUACAAGCAGUGGGAGCACCUUCGGGUGUGACUGCGUACCUUUUGUAUAAUGGGUCAGCGACUUAUAUUCUGUAGCAAGGUUAACCGUAUAGGGGAGCCGCAGGGAAACCGAGUCUUAACUGGGCGUUAAGUUGCAGGGUAUAGACCCGAAACCCGGUGAUCUAGCCAUGGGCAGGUUGAAGGUUGGGUAACACUAACUGGAGGACCGAACCGACUAAUGUUGAAAAAUUAGCGGAUGACUUGUGGCUGGGGGUGAAAGGCCAAUCAAACCGGGAGAUAGCUGGUUCUCCCCGAAAGCUAUUUAGGUAGCGCCUCGUGAAUUCAUCUUCGGGGGUAGAGCACUGUUUCGGCUAGGGGGUCAUCCCGACUUACCAACCCGAUGCAAACUACGAAUACCGAAGAAUGUUAUCACGGGAGACACACGGCGGGUGCUAACGUCCGUCGUGAAGAGGGAAACAACCCAGACCGCCAGCUAAGGUCCCAAAGUCAUGGUUAAGUGGGAAACGAUGUGGGAAGGCACAGACAGCCAGGAUGUUGGCUUAGAAGCAGCCAUCAUUUAAAGAAAGCGUAAUAGCUCACUGGUCGAGUCGGCCUGCGCGGAAGAUGUAACGGGGCUAAACCAUGCACCGAAGCUGCGGCAGCGACACUAUGUGUUGUUGGGUAGGGGAGCGUUCUGUAAGCCUGCGAAGGUGACCUGUGAGGGUUGCUGGAGGUAUCAGAAGUGCGAAUGCUGACAUAAGUAACGAUAAAGCGGGUGAAAAGCCCGCUCGCCGGAAGACCAAGGGUUCCUGUCCAACGUUAAUCGGGGCAGGGUGAGUCGACCCCUAAGGCGAGGCCGAAAGGCGUAGUCGAUGGGAAACAGGUUAAUAUUCCUGUACUUGGUGUUACUGCGAAGGGGGGACGGAGAAGGCUAUGUUAGCCGGGCGACGGUUGUCCCGGUUUAAGCAUGUAGGCUGGUUGUCCAGGCAAAUCCGGAUAAUCAAGGCUGAGGUGUGAUGACGAGGCACUACGGUGCUGAAGUAACAAAUGCCCUGCUUCCAGGAAAAGCCUCUAAGCAUCAGGUAACAUCAAAUCGUACCCCAAACCGACACAGGUGGUCAGGUAGAGAAUACCAAGGCGCUUGAGAGAACUCGGGUGAAGGAACUAGGCAAAAUGGUGCCGUAACUUCGGGAGAAGGCACGCUGGUGUGUAGGUGAAGCCCCUGCGGGUGGAGCUGAGACCAGUCGAAGAUACCAGCUGGCUGCAACUGUUUAUUAAAAACACAGCACUGUGCAAACACGAAAGUGGACGUAUACGGUGUGACGCCUGCCCGGUGCCGGAAGGUUAAUUGAUGGGGUUAUCCGUAAGGAGAAGCUCUUGAUCGAAGCCCCGGUAAACGGCGGCCGUAACUAUAACGGUCCUAAGGUAGCGAAAUUCCUUGUCGGGUAAGUUCCGACCUGCACGAAUGGCGUAAUGAUGGCCAGGCUGUCUCCACCCGAGACUCAGUGAAAUUGAACUCGCUGUGAAGAUGCAGUGUACCCGCGGCAAGACGGAAAGACCCCGUGAACCUUUACUAUAGCUUGACACUGAACAUUGAGCCUUGAUGUGUAGGAUAGGUGGGAGGCUUUGAAGCGUGGACGCCAGUCUGCGUGGAGCCAACCUUGAAAUACCACCCUUUAAUGUUUGAUGUUCUAACGUUGGCCCCUUACCGGGGUUGCGGACAGUGUCUGGUGGGUAGUUUGACUGGGGCGGUCUCCUCCCAAAGCGUAACGGAGGAGCACGAAGGUUAGCUAAUCCUGGUCGGACAUCAGGAGGUUAGUGCAAUGGCAUAAGCUAGCUUGACUGCGAGCGUGACGGCGCGAGCAGGUGCGAAAGCAGGUCAUAGUGAUCCGGUGGUUCUGAAUGGAAGGGCCAUCGCUCAACGGAUAAAAGGUACUCCGGGGAUAACAGGCUGAUACCGCCCAAGAGUUCAUAUCGACGGCGGUGUUUGGCACCUCGAUGUCGGCUCAUCACAUCCUGGGGCUGAAGUAGGUCCCAAGGGUAUGGCUGUUCGCCAUUUAAAGUGGUACGCGAGCUGGGUUUAGAACGUCGUGAGACAGUUCGGUCCCUAUCUGCCGUGGGCGCUGGAGAAUUGAGGGGGGCUGCUCCUAGUACGAGAGGACCGGAGUGGACGCAUCACUGGUGUUCGGGUUGUCAUGCCAAUGGCACUGCCCGGUAGCUAAAUGCGGAAGAGAUAAGUGCUGAAAGCAUCUAAGCACGAAACUUGCCCCGAGAUGAGUUCUCCCUGAGACUUUAAGUCUCCUGAAGGAACGUUGAAGACGACGACGUUGAUAGGCCGGGUGUGUAAGCGCAGCGAUGCGUUGAGCUAACCGGUACUAAUGAACCGUGAGGCUUAACCUUACAACGCCGAAG
rnacentral:rRNA from 1 species